rnacentral:rRNA from 1 species
CCCGCUGAACUUAAGCAUAUCAAUAAGCGGAGGAAAAGAAACUAACAAGGAUUCCCCUAGUAACUGCGAGUGAAGCGGGAAAAGCUCAAAUUUAAAAUCUGGCGGUCCUUGUGGCUGUCCGAGUUGUAAUUUAGAGAAGUGUUAUCCGCGCUGGACCGUGUACAAGUCUCCUGGAAUGGAGCGUCAUAGAGGGUGAGAAUCCCGUCUUUGACACGGACUGCCAGGGCAUUGUGAUACGCUCUCAAAGAGUCGAGUUGUUUGGGAAUGCAGCUCAAAAUGGGUGGUAAAUUCCAUCUAAAGCUAAAUAUUGGGGAGAGACCGAUAGCGAACAAGUACCGUGAGGGAAAGAUGAAAAGAACUUUGGAAAGAGAGUUAAACAGUACGUGAAAUUGCUGAAAGGGAAACGCUUGAAGUCAGUCGCGUCGCUCAGGACUCAGCCUUGCUUUUGCUUGGUGUACUUCCUGUUCGAUGGGUCAGCAUCAAUUUUGGUCGGUGGAUAAAGGCUCAGAGAAUGUGGCAUCUUCGGGUGUGUUAUAGCCUCUUGUUGUAUACAUCGGUUGGGACUGAGGAACUCAGCACGCCGCAAGGCCGGGUUUUUAACCACGUACGUGCUUAGGAUGCUGGCAUAAUGGCUUUAAUCGACCCGUCUUGAAACACGG